rnacentral:rRNA from 1 species
AGAGGAGUAAUAAUUAAAUUAAUAAAUUAAUAAAUAAAAAAAAAAUUUUUAAAAAUAUUUUAAUUGGGGAGUUAAAGUAUUAUUAUAGAAAAAAUUUUUAAUUUUAUAAUAAAUUAGUAAUGUAAAUGAAAUUUGAAAUAAAAAAAAAAAAUUAUUAAAAAGUAAUUUUUAUUUAGUGUAUCUUGUGUAUCAGAGUUUAUUAAUUAAUUUUUUAAUUUUAAAAUUUUUCGAAUUAAAAAGAGUUAAUUAAUUAAAAAAUUUAUUAUAGUAUAAAUAUUUUUUAUAGUUAAUUAGAAAUGAAAUGUUAAUCGUUUUUUAAGAUAUCUAGUUUUUUUAGAAAAAAAUUUAAUUUUAAAAUUAUUAUAUAAUAUAAAUUAAUUUAUUUAUUUUUAAUAAAUUAAUUUAUUAAUAAUUUAAAUAUUUUAAGGGAUAAGCUUUAAAAUAAAUUUUUAUAUUUAUAUUAUUUAAAUAAAAAAAAUUUUUAAAAUUUAUAUUGUUUAAAAAUUAUAAUUUAUUAUAAAUAAUUUUAUUGAGAAGAAAAAUUUAAAUUUAAAAAUUAAAAUUUUAUAAAAAUAUUAUUUAUAAUAAUAAAAAUUAAGAAAUAAUGAUAAAAUUAGUAUAAUAAAUUAUAAUUAUAAUUAAAAUUUAAUUAAAAAUUAAUAAAAAGAAUUCGGCAAAAAUUAAUAUUCACCUGUUUAUCAAAAACAUGUCUUUUUGAAAAUAAUUAAAAGUCUGAUCUGCCCACUGAUGAAAAUUAAAGGGCUGCAGUAAUUUGACUGUACAAAGGUAGCAUAAUCAUUAGUCUCUUAAUUAGAGACUUGUAUGAAUGAUUUGAUGAAAUAUUAACUGUUUCUUAUUAAUUUAUUGAAUUUAAUUUUUUAAUUAAAAAGUUAAAAUUUAAUUAAAAGACGAGAAGACCCUAUAGAGUUUUAUAAAAUAAAAAAUACUUAUAAUAUUUUAGUAAAAUUAUAAUUAUUUUUUUUUUUAUUAUAUUGGGGUGAUAAAAAAAUUUAAUUAACUUUUUUUUAAAAAAAAUCAUAAAUAAAUGAAUUAAUUGAUCCAAAAUUUUUGAUUAUAAGAAAAAAUUACCUUAGGGAUAACAGCGUAAUUUUUUUUUUUAGUUCAAAUAAAAAAAAAAGUUUGCGACCUCGAUGUUGGAUUAAGAUAAAAUUUAAAUGCAAAAGUUUAAAAUUUUGAUCUGUUCGAUCAUUAAAAUCUUACAUGAUCUGAGUUCAAACCGGUGUAAGCCAGGUUGGUUUCUAUCUUUAAUAAAAUAAAAUAUUAUAGUACGAAAGGAUUUAAUAUUUAAAAUAAUUUUAUUUGAAAUGAAUUUUAAUAAAGAAAAAUUAUUUAUAAAAGAAAAUAAGUUUAAAUUUUAUUUAA